GGCAAGCGUUGUCCGGAAUUACUGGGUGUAAAGGGAGCGCAGGCGGACUAGCAAGUUGGAAGUGAAAUCUAUGGGCUCAACCCAUAAAUUGCUUUCAAAACUGCCGGUCUUGAGUAGUGCAGAGGUAGGCGGAAUUCCCGGUGUAGCGGUGGAAUGCGUAGAUAUCGGGAGGAACACCAGUGGCGAAGGCGGCCUACUGGGCACCAACUGACGCUGAGGCUCGAAAGUAUGGGUAGCAAACAGGAUUAGAUACCCUGGUAGUCCAUACCGUAAACGAUGAUUACUAGGUGUUGGAGGAUUGACCCCUUCAGUGCCGCAGUUAACACAAUAAGUAAUCCACCUGGGGAGUACGACCGCAAGGUUGAAACUCAAAGGAAUUGACGGGGCCCGCACAAGCAGU
rnacentral:rRNA from 1 species